rnacentral:rRNA from 1 species
CCUACGGGAGGCAGCAGUGGGGAAUAUUGGGCAAUGGGCGCAAGCCUGACCCAGCAACGCCGCGUGAAGGAAGAAGGCUUUCGGGUUGUAAACUUCUUUUGACAGGGAAGAGGAGAAGACGGUACCUGGAGAAUAAGCCACGGCUAACUACGUGCCAGCAGCCUCGGUAAUACGUAAGUGGCAAGCGUUGUCCGGAUUUACUGGGUGUAAAGGGCGUGUAGCCGGGUUGACAAGUCAGAUGUGAAAACCUGCGGCUUAACCGCAGAACUGCAUUUGAAACUGUUGAUCUUGAGUGUUGGAGAGGCAGACGGAAUUCCUUGUGUAGCGGUGAAAUGCGUAGAUAUUAGGAGGAACACCAGUGGCGAAGGCGGUCUGCUGGACAGCAACUGACGGUGAGGCGCGAAAGCGUGGGGAGCAAACAGGAUUAGAUACCCGAGUAGUC